UGGGGAAUUUUGUGCAAUGGGCGAAAGCCUGACACAGCGACACCGCGUGAGCGAAGAAGCCCUUUGGGGUGUAAAGCUCUGUCAGCAGGAACGAACAAAAUGACGGUACCUGCAGAGGAAGCAUCGGCUAACUACGUG
rnacentral:rRNA from 1 species